rnacentral:rRNA from 1 species
UACGUAGGGUGCGAGCGUUGUCCGGAAUUAUUGGGCGUAAAGGGCUCGUAGGCGGUUUGUCGCGUCGGGAGUGAAAUCCACUGGCUUAACUGGUGGCUUGCUUUCGAUACGGGCAGACUGGAGGUAUGCAGGGGAGAACGGAAUUCCUGGUGUAGCGGUGAAAUGCGUAGAGAUCAUGAGGAAGACCAGUGGCGAAGGCGGGUCUCUGGACAGUUCCUGACACUGAGACACGAAGGCCAGGGGAGCAAACGGG